GCCUGCUAUAAAUGCAAGAAAGUCUCUAGGGCAGUUGAAAGUAAAGGCCUGGACCCAGGACAAACUCACUAAUUUCAGGAAGUUCUAUAGGUGAGGGCCUGUUUUUGUGUUUCUGAGCCCCACAGAACUAAUUCGUUGCUGAAGAAGCUGAGUCUGUCCUGUUAGAAGAUCUCCCAACAGCCUAAAGAAAUCACACCUCCCUUCUGACUGACCUGCACUUCAGUGAGACCCCCAUUGGCUGGAGCCCAGAAGAGUGAGAAGUCAGGGAAGAAGAGAUGCUUUGGCACGCAUUAGGGGGAAAGGGAGGGCAAAAUAAUUUUGUUAGAAUUUAAUUUCUUUAUUGGGACGAGGAAUUAAUUCAUAAGAGUUGGGAGUUUGCAGUGUUAAAUUCUAUAGAUGAUAGCAAAUUUGACAGGUGUCAUUUAAUUCGUUAAACAGUUAUUGUUUAGUGUGUGUUAGGAGCUAGACUUAUAUGUUAAUAUCUGGUGCACGCAUUAUAACCUCAUUUGGUGAGUUUGGUUAGAUGACAGGAGAGAGCCUACUUUGGGAUACAGAUUAUAUCAGGAGUGACUUCUUUGCCUUGCAUGCAGUGUGGC